rnacentral:rRNA from 1 species
GACGAACGCUGGCGGCGUGCCUAAUACAUGCAAGUUGAACGCAACAAAGACACCAGAGCUUGCUCUACCGUUUUUGUUGAGUAGCGAACGGGUGAGUAACGCGUGGGUAACCUGCCUUAUAGCGGGGGAUAACUAUUGGAAACGAUAGCUAAUACCGCAUAACAAUAGAGAUUGCAUAAUCUUUAUUUGAAAGUGCCAACUGGUACACUAUGAGAUGGACCCGCGUUGUAUUAGCUAGUUGGUAGUGUAAUGGACUACCAAGGCGAUGAUACAUAGCCGACCUGAGAGGGUGAUCGGCCACAUUGGGACUGAGACACGGCCCAAACUCCUACGGGAGGCAGCAGUAGGGAAUCUUCGGCAAUGGACGAAAGUCUGACCGAGCAACGCCGCGUGAGUGAAGAAGGUUUUCGGAUCGUAAAACUCUGUUGUUAGAGAAGAAUGUUGAUUAGAGUGGAAAAUUAAUCAAGUGACGGUAUCUAACCAGAAAGGGACGGCUAACUACGUG